GGGGGAGUAGCUUAGCCAGGUAGAGUAUUAGUUUGUCACGCUAAAGGCCGCGGGUUCGAGUCCCGUCUCUCCCG
rnacentral:tRNA from 1 species